CCCUAUAUAUUCUCCCACUCCAUUAAACUCAUUAAUCCAAAAAAAAAAAAAAAAAUCCCUAUAGAGGUCUCUAAUGGCGGAUAUAGCGCUCUUGGUGGCGGAGGAGUUCGAGAGGAGGAGGAAUCGGAUGGAGAAGGGAUAUGGCAAGGAGGCGGCGGAGUUCAAUUGCGCGGUGGCGUCGUCUUCGUCGUCUCUCCUCUCUAGAGCUGCGGAGGAGCUCUCUUCGUUGAGGGAGGUAGGGGUUAAGGAAAUGGAGGAGCUUCUGAGGAGGGCGAUGAUGGAGCCCAAAACCACUCUCGGGGUUGCCGCUUUCGAUGGCUUCUUCUCGGCUUGAUCGAUCGAUGCUUCUUCGGUCGUCGAUUUCCGCCUCUUGUUUGGAAUUGCGUUGCCAAAAUUAUAUAUCCGCUUUCUUUUUAUUUUGUAAAUUUCGAGAACGCUUUCGAUCUUUCCUAAUCCUAAUUAACGCGAAAAGAUGCGUUUAGACAUUGCAGUUCCAAAUUGUAAUUUAAAUUUUUUUUCUUUUUUUUCUUUUUCCCCCCUUUUUGUUAAGAUG
rnacentral:lncRNA from 1 species